GGCAAGGAUACUAUUCAAAUAAAUAACGACUUCUUUUAGUAGGCGAUGUGACAUAAUACAAAACCCUCAUUGAAUGUAUUUCUUUGCGCAUCUGCUCUUGCAAUUAUACCAACUAUCUUAGUGCUUAAGUCGCAAACGCACACCAAAUACACUGACUAUCGUUUCGUUGGAGAUCUUGUGGUUGUGGAUGCCGUCUAUGAAUGUAGAGGAUCAGGUUUGCAAUGCAUAGGUUGCUGUGAAAUUUCCUACUGCGAAAGGAAGAACGCCACCUGGAUAAGCUCAACGAGGUCGAGGUGCCCUGAAGACGAAAUCUGCCAAAACGGCGUUUGCGUCAAGAACUGCGACCGCAUUGCAAAGGUACCUUUCAUUUGCACCACAAGCGGCAUGUUUCCCGAUCCGUUCGAUUGCCAAGCCUACCAUUUUUGUACACCUGACAAGUUGGACGCGCCAGUUUUGCAAUCUACAAAAGCAAAAUGCGGAGAUACUUCGGUGGGGAGUUACGGUUACAAUCCAAAGACGACGUUUUGUAGUGACAAACUAUCGGAUGCGAAGUGUACUGAUUUUCCUGUACCCAUAUGUGAAAGGAUGCUGCAAAAGGGCAUCAUAUCUCGGAACCCAACUUUGUAUUAUGUUUGCCUGAAUCAUCCCCUAUUGAACGACACGUCUAUUUUGUAUCCGUUUCAAAUGGCUUGCCCAUUCGGGAAGACACUUUCCCCAUGUGGAUGCGAGUGAUGGAAUGAUUGCGUGAGAAGCUUUCAACAACAAUAGUUGCAUUACAUAAGGGUUGUUUUUAUAAUCGGAUAUCUGUUAGAGUACAAUUAUAAAACUACA